rnacentral:rRNA from 1 species
UAGGGAAUCUUCCGCAAUGGGCGAAAGCCUGAUGGAGCAACGCCGCGUGUGUGAUGAAGGCUUUAGGGUCGUAAAGCACUGUUGUAUGGGAAGAAAUGCUAGAAUAGGGAAUGAUUCUAGUUCGACGGUACCAUACCAGAAAGGGACGGCUAAAUACGUGCCAGCAGCCGCGGUAAUACGUAUGUCCCGAGCGUUAUCCGGAUUUAUUGGGCGUAAAGCGAGCGCAGACGGUUGAUUAAGUCUGAUGUGAAAGCCCGGAGCUCAACUCCGGAAUGGCAUUGGAAACUGGUUAACUUGAGUGUUGUAGAGGUAAGUGGAACUCCAUGUGUAGCGGUGGAAUGCGUAGAUAUAUGGAAGAACACCAGUGGCGAAGGCGGCUUACUGGACAACAACUGACGUUGAGGCUCGAAAGUGUGGGUAGCAAACAGGAUUAGAUACCCUGGUAGUCCACACCGUAAACGAUGAAUACUAGGUGUUAGGAGGUUUCCGCCUCUUAGUGCCGAAGCUAACGCAUUAAGUAUUCCGCCUGGGGAGUACGACCGCAAGGUUG